AUGCCAAGAGGAUUACUAAUUAAGUAUUUUCUGAGGGUUGAUGCUGGUGGACUCUUCCACACAUAUCCUCAUCGAGGUGGUCCGUUUAAGAGCUUACAAGAAGCUCAGGAUGCUAUAUACUCCUAUCACAUUAAUCUGUGUAAAUUCAAGUACUUGGGUGGGCUUUCCAAAGAGGACAGGUAUGUUUGGCAUACACUAUAUUGGCGUAAUGGCACAAGGAAGAACUCGAAAGAAGCUUUGGAUGUAAUGAUGAACUAUAACCCCACUCGGGAAGUAGUUAAAGCUUUACUGGACAAGCACAAUGAGGACCAUCUUUUGGAGGAUCUUGCAUAUGAAAUCAAGAAAGUUGUGAGUUACAAAGCUCACUUCCCAAGAAAAGGUUCUCAGCAUGAAUGCAGGUCCUUCUCACAUUUAAAUGUGCUUGUAGAAAGAGGACCUAAUGCCAUCGAAGAUCUUCUCUUCAUUGAAAUGACCUGCACAACAGAUGGUGAAUUUGAGGAAUACACGCUUAGUUGCAUUUGUGUGGUUUCAUCCGAAGAUGAUGGUGAGUGCUGUGAAUGCGGUGAUGAUGUGAAGCAUCCCACUGGUGCGGAGUACAAAAAGUGUGAAGCCAAGCCCCAUGUUCGGUGCAGGAAGCCUAUAUCAGAAGAAGAAUUUAAUGAGUUUAUUGUUGUGCGCGAUGAAGAUUGGCUGGAGACGGAAGAGGCUGCGGUGAGGUGGCAAUUCAGGAUGCGCAACGCAGCAGAUGGCCAUGGAGCGAGGGGCAAAUACAUCGUACCGGCAAAACGUGUGCAGGCAUAG
rnacentral:rRNA from 1 species